rnacentral:rRNA from 1 species
AUUGAACGCUGGCGGCAGGCCUAACACAUGCAAGUCGAGCGAGUGGCGGGGGGGUGGAUAGUUUCUGGGAAAGUGCGUGAUGUAGGGGGAUAACGACUGAAAACGGUAGCUAAUACCGCAUCCCCUCAGGUGUGCCCAGGUGGGAUUAGCUUGCUGGGGGGGUAAUGGCUCCCCAAGGCUACGCUCCCUAGCUGGUCUGAGAGGAUGACCGUCCACACUGGAACUGAGACACGGUCCAGACUCCUACGGGCGGCAGCAGUGGGGAAUAUUGCACAAUGUGCGCAAGCCUGAUGCAGCCAUGCCGCGUGUGUGAAGAAGGCCUUCGGGUUGUAAAGUACUUUCAGCGGGGAGGCGUUACCCGCAGAAGAAGCACCGGCUAACUCCGUGCCAGCAGCCGCGGUAAUUC